GCUCUGGCCGCUCGCUUUCCCCGCCGCCAUUUUCUUUUCCUCAUCACCGAAAGAAGCAGUAGAGGCGGCGGCGGCAGCAGCGGCGAGCGACACUCCACACGAUUUCAUGGAAACGCAACAGGGGGGAGCAAGCCACUUAGUUGGUGAAAAACGAUAUAAUGCAAGUUCAAACGUUUCCUGGCUCUGGAACCUAGCGAAGACACGUGCAUGAGGAUUUUAACUGUGCUCAGUGAAGAUGAGAGACGAAGAUGCACCAUGAAUCCUUAUCUGCACAGGCGAUUCACUAUUAUUAUCUUCUCAUAUGCAUAAUUUUGUGUCUAUGUAAGGUAGUCUGUCAAAACAGAGCUGGGGAAUGUGUUAUUGCUGAAAUAAUAAAGCAAAGGUUUUGUCUUGUAAUUAUGUCUCAAAAUUCUCUUUAAAAUACUGUAUACAGUGAGAGCAGAAUUGUUACUGAAUUAAGGUAGUACUUGUGAGAGGUGGGAAAUCUGAACUGUAAUUGCUUACACUUUUACCUUAAAACAUUUUAUAUAAAGUAACUGCCUGAGUUACUAGUGCAAUGCCAUGUUUUUUAAUGAAGAAUUGGUAGAGUACCCUAAACAUUUAUAAGUGUGCUGCAGUUCUUAGACUUGAGUUGUUAAAUCAGUCAUGGGUUUCCACACUGACCACAGGUAGAUACUUCUUCUACUUCAGGUCCUGAUUUUUAGACUCCAUAUAAUCAGGACUGGUUUCAGGGGGCCUUCAGCAAACUGGUCUUAGGCCCAGAGAACCACUCAUCCACAAGAUGGAGGCUAUAGGCACAGGGUUAGUCUCUGAGUAUACAUCCUUCUGAUGAUUCUGGACAACUGUCCAGUGAUGCUGUUCUUGCAUAAAAUACUGCUGUACCUCUCUGUAGUUUUGUAAAAAAUAAACCAUGGUUAUGAAUUGCCUAAGCUGAAAAAUA